rnacentral:rRNA from 1 species
UCUGGCGGCCUUAGCGCGGUGGUCCCACCUGACCCCAUGCCGAACUCAGAAGUGAAACGCCGUAGCGCCGAUGGUAGUGUGGGGUCUCCCCAUGCGAGAGUAGGGAACUGCCAG